GAUGAACGCUAGCUACAGGCUUAACACAUGCAAGUCGAGGGGAAACGAUAUUGGAAGCUUGCUUCCGAUAGGCGUCGACCGGCGCACGGGUGAGUAACGCGUAUCCAACCUGCCCACCACUUGGGGAUAACCUUGCGAAAGUAAGACUAAUACCCAAUGAUAUCCAUAGAAGACAUCUGAAAUGGAUUAAAGAUUUAUCGGUGAUGGAUGGGGAUGCGUCUGAUUAGCUUGUUGGCGGGUAACGGCCCACCAAGGCGACGAUCAGUAGGGGUUCUGAGAGGAAGGUCCCCCACAUUGGAACUGAGACACGGUCCAAACUCCUACGGGAGGCAGCAGUGAGGAAUAUUGGUCAAUGGGCGAGAGCCUGAACCAGCCAAGUAGCGUGCAGGAUGACGGCCCUAUGGGUUGUAAACUGCUUUUAUAAGGGAAUAAAGUGGGAGUCGUGACUCCUUUUGCAUGUACUUUAUGAAUAAGGACCGGCUAAUUCCGUGCCAGCCGCCGCAGUAAAAC
rnacentral:rRNA from 1 species